GUGCUCAUUUUGGAAGCACAUAUGCUAAAAUUGGAAUGAUACAUGGAAGAUUAGCAUGGACCCUGAGCAAGAAUAGCACAUGAAUUCAUGAAGUGUUCUAUAUUUUA
ensembl:snRNA U6 U6 spliceosomal RNA